rnacentral:rRNA from 1 species
GGGGGGGGGGGGGGGGGGGGGUGGGGGGGGGGGGGCGGGGGGGCAGGCGGGGGGGUGGCGGCGCGGGCGUUGGCGGCGGACGGGUGGGUCACACGGGGAGAACCUGCCUAUCCGACUGGGAUACCCUCGGGAAACCGGAGCUAAUCCGGGAUAAUAUAUGGCACCGCAUGGUCAAAAAGUGAAAGACGUAUUUGCGGUAACUGACAGCUGUAUCCGCGCCGCCUUAGCUAGUUGGUAAGGUAACGGCUUACCAAGGCAACGAUGCGUAGCCGACCUGAGAGGGUGAUCGGCCACACUGGAACUGAGACACGGUCCAGACUCCUACGGGAGGCAGCAGUAGGGAAUCUUCCGCAAUGGGCGAAAGCCUGACGGAGCAACGCCGCGUGAGUGAAGAAGGUCUUCGGAUCGUAAAACUCUGUUAUUAGGGAAGAACAAAUGUGUAAGUAACUAUGCACGUCUUGACGGUACCUAAUCAGAAAGCCACGGCUAACUACGUG